CAGUCGCCACGGUAAUACGAAGGGGGCUAGCGUUGUUCGGAAUUACUGGGCGUAAAGCGCACGUAGGCGGAUUUUUAAGCCAGGGGUGGAAUCCCGAGGCUCAACCUCGGAACUGCCUUUGAUACUGGAGAUCUUGAGUUCGGAAGAGGUUGGUGGAACAGCUAGUGUAGAGGUGAAAUUCGUAGAUAUUAGCUAGAACACCAGUGGCGAAGGCGGCCAACUGGUCCGAUACUGACGCUGAGGUGCGAAAGCGUGGGGAGCAAACAGGAUUAGAUACCCCUGUAGUCCCUGUCUCUUAUAC
rnacentral:rRNA from 1 species